UACGUAGGGGGCAAGCGUUGUCCGGAAUCAUUGGGCGUAAAGCGCGUGUAGGCGGCUUGAUAAGUCCGCUCUGAAAGCCCGGGGCUCAACCCCGGGAGGCGGGUGGAUACUGUCAAGCUCGAGUCCGGAAGAGGCGAGUGGAAUUCCUGGUGUAGCGGUGAAAUGCGCAGAUAUCAGGAGGAACACCGGUGGCGAAGGCGGGUCUCUGGGCAGUAACUGACGCUGAGGAGCGAAAGCGUGGGGAGCGAACAGG
rnacentral:rRNA from 1 species